rnacentral:rRNA from 1 species
UACAGAGGAGCCAAGCGUUGUCCGGAUUGACUGGGCGUAAAGCGCACGCAGGCGGUUGCGCGCGUGGGGUGUGAAAUCUGGCCGCUUAACGGCCAGGCGCCAUCCCAUACGGCGCGACUGGAGUGAUGCAGAGGUCGAUGGAAUUGCCGGUGUAGUGGUGAAAUGCGUAGAUAUGUGGAGGAACACCGAUGGCGAAGGCAGCCCCCUGGGCUAGUACUGACGCUCAUGCACAAAAGCGUGGGGAGCAAACAGG